UUCCUAGUGGUCGAGUGGCUAAGACUCUGUGCUCCCAAUGCAGGGGGCCAGGGUUCGAGCCCUGGUCAGGGAA
rnacentral:tRNA from 1 species